GCCGGAGUGGCGGAACAGGCAGACGCGCGCGACUCAAACUCGCGUGUCCUUUGGGACUUGUGGGUUCGAUUCCCACCUCCGGCA
rnacentral:tRNA from 1 species